rnacentral:rRNA from 1 species
AACGAACGCUGGCGGCAGGCCUAACACAUGCAAGUCGAGCGAACCGCAAGGUUAGCGGCGGACGGGUUAGUAACGCGUGGGAACGUGCCCAAAGGUACGGAAUAGCCUCGGGAAACUGAGAGUAAUACCGUAUGUGCACGCAAGGGGAAAGAUUUAUCGCCUUUGGAUCGGCCCGCGUUGGAUUAGGUAGUUGGUGGGGUAAUGGCCUACCAAGCCGACGAUCCAUAGCUGGUUUGAGAGGAUGAUCAGCAACACUGGGACUGAGACACGGCCCAGACUCCUACGGGAGGCAGCAGUGGGGAAUCUUAGACAAUGGGGGAAACCCUGAUCUAGCCAUGCCGCGUGAGCGAUGAAGGCCUUAGGGUUGUAAAGCUCUUUCACCGGGGAAGAUAAUGACGGUACCCGGAGAAGAAGCCCCGGCUAACUCCGUGCCAGCCGCCGCUGUAAAAC